rnacentral:rRNA from 1 species
CAGUCGCCGCGGUAAUACGGAGGGAGCUAGCGUUGUUCGGAAUUACUGGGCGUAAAGCGCGCGUAGGCGGUUACUCAAGUCAGAGGUGAAAGCCCGGGGCUCAACCCCGGAACUGCCUUUGAAACUAGGUGACUAGAAUCUUGGAGAGGUCAGUGGAAUUCCGAGUGUAGAGGUGAAAUUCGUAGAUAUUCGGAAGAACACCAGUGGCGAAGGCGACUGACUGGACAAGUAUUGACGCUGAGGUGCGAAAGCGUGGGGAGCAAACAGGAUUAGAUACCCCAGUAGUCCCUGUCUCUUAUAC